rnacentral:rRNA from 1 species
AUUGAACGCUGGCGGUAGGCUCAACACAUGCAAGUCGAGCGGGGGAAGGUAGCUUGCUACCGGACCUAGCGGCGGACGGGUGAGUAAUGCUUAGGAAUCUGCCUAUUAGUGGGGGACAACAUCUCGAAAGGGAUGCUAAUACCGCAUACGUCCUACGGGAGAAAGCAGGGGAUCUUCGGACCUUGCGCUAAUAGAUGAGCCUAAGUCGGAUUAGCUAGUUGGGGGGGUAAAGGCCUACCAAGGCGACGAUCUGUAGCGGGUGCUGAGAGGAUGAUCCGCCACACUGGGACUGAGACACGGCCCAGACUCCUACGGGAGGCAGCAGUGGGGAAUAUUGGACAAUGGGGGGAACCCUGAUCCAGCCAUGCCGCGUGUGUGAAGAAGGCCUUAUGGUUGUAAAGCACUUUAAGCGAGGAGGAGGCUACUUUAGUUAAUACCUAGAGAUAGUGGACGUUACUCGCAGAAUAAGCACCGGCUAACUCUGUGCCAGCCGCCGCCGUAA